UACGGAGGGUGCGAGCGUUGUCCGGAAUCACUGGGCGUAAAGGGCGCGUAGGCGGCCUGAUAAGUAGGGGGUGAAAUCCUGCGGCUUAACCGCAGGGCUGCCUUCUAAACUGUCAGGCUAGAGCACAGUAGAGGCAGGUGGAAUUCCCGGUGUAGCGGUGGAAUGCGUAGAGAUCGGGAAGAACAUCAGUGGCGAAAGCGCUCUACUGGGCCAUAACUGACACUGAGGGACGAAAGCUAGGGGAGCGAAAGGG
rnacentral:rRNA from 1 species